GCUCGAGGGACAACAAUAUACCUACCAUAAAGGACGGAUUUACCACCGAAAGACUUUUGCCGAUAUUAAUUGGACAAGAGACAAGCACAAUGACAAAUGUAUAUAUUGGUGACCCCGACGUGCAAACAUUGAAAC